AACAGGAUUAGAUACCCUGGUAGUCCACGCCGUAAACGAUGUCGACUUGGAGGUUGUUCCCUUGAGGAGUGGCUUCCGGAGCUAACGCGUUAAGUCGACCGCCUGGGGAGUACGGCCGCAAGGUUAAAACUCAAAUGAAUUGACGGGGGCCCGCACAAGCGGUGGAGCAUGUGGUUUAAUUCGAUGCAACGCGAAGAACCUUACCUACUCCUGACAUCCACGGAAUUCGGCAGAGAUGCCUUAGUGCCUUCGGGAACCGUGAGACAGGUGCUGCAUGGCUGUCGUCAGCUCGUGUUGUGAAAUGUUGGGUUAAGUCCCGCAACGAGCGCAACCCUUAUCCUUUGUUGCCAGCGAUUCGGUCGGGAACUCAAAGGAGACUGCCGGUGAUAAACCGGAGGAAGGUGGGGAUGACGUCAAGUCAUCAUGGCCCUUACGAGUAGGGCUACACACGUGCUACAAUGGCGCAUACAAAGAGAAGCGACCUCGCGAGAGCAAGCGGACCUCAUAAAGUGCGUCGUAGUCCGGAUCGGAGUCUGCAACUCGACUCCGUGAAGUCGGAAUCGCUAGUAAUCGUGGAUCAGAAUGCCACGGUGAAUACGUUCCCGGGCCUUGUACACACCGCCCGUCACACCAUGGGAGUGGGUUGCAAAAGAAGUAGGUAGCUUAACCUCCGGGAGGGCGCUUACCACUUUGUGAUUCAUGACUGGGGUGAAGUCGUAACAAGGUAACC
rnacentral:rRNA from 1 species